CUGUCUCUAGAAUAUUUCCAUUGGAUUUAAUGAUGAAAUCUGUGCAAUUUCAGGUGAAAAUGAGGCUAAGUCAUGAUGUGCUAAAAGUGACAGUUGAGCUUAGCUCAUCAGUGGGCUAAGCGUGCAUCCACCGCUAAGCGUAGCUUCAGCGUGCUUAGUGCGACAGAAGAAUCUGGCCGAGCAUCAAUAUCAAGGCCGCGCGCUAAGCACGAGAUUAGUGUGCUAAAUGCAGG
rnacentral:lncRNA from 1 species